AAGUCAUAACAAGGUUUCUGUAGGUGAACCUGCAGAAGGAUCAUUAUUGAAUUUGAAAAUGGGGAGUUGCUUUCGGGCACUCUUCUACUAUUCUUUAUUUCCUAACACCUGUGAAUCGUUGCUGAGUUUGCUCAGUGCACCUUUUUUUUCACACAAACACUUUUUAAAGUAUAGAACGUUAAAAAGCAUAAAAAUCAAAAAGUAUAA
rnacentral:misc_RNA from 1 species